AACGAACGCUGGCGGCAUGCCUAACACAUGCAAGUCGAACGAGACCUUCGGGUCUUUUGGCGCACGGGUGCGUAACGCGUGGGAACCUGCCCUUAGGUUCGGAAUAACUCCCCGAAAGGGGUGCUAAUACCGGAUAAUGUCUUCGGACCAAAGAUUUAUCGACUUUGGUUGGGCCCGCGUUGGAUUAGCUAGUUGGUAGGGUAAAAGCCUACUAAGGCGACGAUCCAUAGCUGGUCUGAGAGGAUGAUCAGCCACACUGAGACUGAGACCCGGCCCAGACUCCUACGGGAGGCAGCAGUGGGGAAUAUUGGACAAUGGGCGAAAGCCUGAUCCAGCAAUGCCGCGUGAGUGAUGAAGGCCGUAGGGUUGUAAAGCUCUUUUACCCGGGAUGAUAAUGACAGUACCGGGAGAAUAAGCUCCGGCUAACUCCGUG
rnacentral:rRNA from 1 species